UGUCAAAAGUAGUCGGUGAA
rnacentral:siRNA from 1 species